UACGUAGGUGGCGAGCGUUGUCCGGAUUUACUGGGCGUAAAGGGGGCGUAGGCGGGCUUUUAAGUGAGAUGUGAAAUACUCGGGCUCAACUUGAGUGCUGCAUUUCAAACUGGAAGUCUAGAGUGCAGGAGAGGAGGAUGGAAUUCCUAGUGUAGCGGUGAAAUGCGUAGAGAUUAGGAAGAACACCAGUGGCGAAGGCGAUUCUCUGGACUGUAACUGACGCUGAGGCUCGAAAGCGUGGGGAGCAAACAGG
rnacentral:rRNA from 1 species